GAUGAACGCUAGCGGCAGGCCUAACACAUGCAAGUCGAGGGGUAGAAGGAGCUUGCUCCUUUGAGACCGGCGCACGGGUGCGUAACGCGUAUGCAAUCUACCUUGUACAGGGGAAUAGCCCAGAGAAAUUUGGAUUAAUGCCCCAUAGUAUAUAACCUUCGCAUGUUGGUUAUAUUAAAGUUCCAACGGUACAAGAUGAGCAUGCGUCCCAUUAGUUAGUUGGUAAGGUAACGGCUUACCAAGACGAUGAUGGGUAGGGGUCCUGAGAGGGAGAUCCCCCACACUGGUACUGAGACACGGACCAGACUCCUACGGGAGGCAGCAGUGAGGAAUAGUGGUCAAUGGUCGCAAGACUGAACCAGCCAUGCCGCGUGCAGGAAGACGGUCCUAUGGAUUGUAAACUGCUUUUAUACAGGAAGAAACCCUCCCACGUGUGGGAGCUUGACGGUACUGUAGGAAUAAGGAUCGGCUAACUCCGUG
rnacentral:rRNA from 1 species